GGGGGUGUUUCUGGUUUCGACCGGAAGCGUGAAUUCCGAGGCGCAUGCCGAGGUGCGGAACCUCGCUAAAAAUCUGCAAAAAAAUAGUCGCAAACGACGAAACCUACGCUUUAGCAGCUUAAUAACCUGCUCGAAGCCCUCGGUGCUUGGCCUUUCCAGUGACGCCAGGCGAUGCCGGGGUCGGUUUUCACUGGAUCGUGUGGAACCCCCGCCUGAGGGCGAAGCAUUAAAGAAAACUUUCGGGCUGGGCAGACGGCAACGUGGCAAUCCGCAGCCUCUGUCGAGAUCAAUGACUGCCUAAGCAUGUAGUGCUGAAGCUGAAGCCUUUUGGGACGAGGGUUCGACUCCCUCCACCUCCACCA
rnacentral:tmRNA from 1 species